rnacentral:rRNA from 1 species
AUGCACGCUGGCGGCGUGCCUAAUACAUGCAGGUCGAGCGAACAGAUGAGGAGCUUGCUCCUCUGACGUUAGCGGCGGACGGGUGAGUAACACGUGGAUAACCUACCUAUAAGACUGGGAUAACUUCGGGAAACCGGAGCUAAUACCGGAUAAUAUAUUGAACCGCAUGGUUCAAUAGUGAAAGACGGUUUUGCUGUCACUUAUAGAUGGAUCCGCGCCGCAUUAGCUAGUUGGUAAGGUAACGGCUUACCAAGGCAACGAUGCGUAGCCGACCUGAGAGGGUGAUCGGCCACACUGGAACUGAGACACGGUCCAGACUCCUACGGGAGGCAGCAGUAGGGAAUCUUCCGCAAUGGGCGAAAGCCUGACGGAGCAACGCCGCGUGAGUGAUGAAGGUCUUCGGAUCGUAAAACUCUGUUAUUAGGGAAGAACAAAUGUGUAAGUAACUAUGCACGUCUUGACGGUACCUAAUCAGAAAGCCACGGCUAACUACGUG